rnacentral:lncRNA from 10 species
CAGUGACAGCUUCUCCUGAAGCAACAGGAGUGACUGGCGUUACAACUGCAAGUAAGAACUGACCAUCCACUACCUCCUUCCCAGUAGGUCACAUUGCCUCAAUCACAUCUACCAUUUGUACUUCCUGUGAAGAGCAUUUUUGUUGGGAAAAAAACACAAUUCCAAAUAGGCAAGAUUUUACCAAUACGUAAAUGUCAGACACUCAAAUGCUUUUAUCUUCCUUUCCUCUGCUUCAAGGAGACUUCACCAUGGAGCUAAGGCACUGAGCAUCAGUUGUGUGAUUGGAGAGAAAGGUCUUUCUUUCCCUCGGUGAUAUAUAAAGGAAAUAAUAGCCACUAACAUUUUUCUCAUUAAAUAUUCUAUAGAAAUUGUGCGUGCAAAACAUAAAGAUUAACUCCUGGUCUAAAAACCUCUGAAAGAGCUUGCUGACACAUUAACAAAACAGAGUUCCCUGAGCCCAUCAAAGGUCGUUUUCUUUUCAUUAUGUGUAAAGAAUAAAAAUAUUGAUUCCUAUCACUCUGAGUUCCAAUGUGGUAGCCACUGGCAAAACUUUUACACAUGAAAAGUCUAAUACUUAAAGCAAUAAAUAAUGAUGAUUAUAGUAAUAAGCAUGUUGAUCAUUUAUGAGUUCCUUACUAUAUCUACUUUUUUAAUUAGAGGUUUACAUAUCUUAUUCCAAUUAAGAAAUACCUAAGGUCCAGUUAAGAAGAUAAAUUUACAAGUGAUGUAUCUCUUGGUUUUAACAAUUAAACUUAUAUAUUUAUGUUUUUCAUUACUUUUAAAGUCAGAAGGCCUUCUUUUCUGACUUAAUAGAAAGUGUCCAGACAUUUUGAAUUGAGGUUAUCUCAUAUAAUGACAUCAGCUUAGCUCAUCCCUCUUUCUUAAUACUCAAUUAAUUUUGGUUUUCUUCAAGAGACCACAACUUCCCUAGGAGGAAGUGACACCCCUGGAGCAGAAAUAAAAUCAGCCACCACUGGAGCACCAGGAAGUAGGACAGGCACAGCUGGAGUGCUCUCUGCUACAACAGUCUCCCCUGGGAGCUCCAACUCAGAAGCUACAACUUCUAUAGGAGAAAAUGGAAAAACAAGUGGGGAAAUAAUCACAGGUACUACUGAGGGCACCUCUGGCAAAGUUCUGGAACCUGGAAGUGCUCACACAGAGGCCACAACUUUCCCAGGAGGCAGCGGGACCACCCGAGCAGGACCACCAGGAGGUACCACUGGGGAAUUGUCUGGAACGACCAUUAUAUCUGGAAGUUCUAACACAGAGGCCACAACUUCCACAAAAGGGACUGGUACUUCUGGAACUGGCUUCAAAAGUGGUACCUCUGCGGUGGCACCUGGCACAACAGUUGCCCCUGGAAGUUUCAGCACAGUAGCCACAAUUUCUCCUGGAGCAAGUAGAACCACUGGGGCUGGACCCGCUGAAGAAACCACAACUUCCCUAGGAGGAGGUGGCACCACUGGAGCAGAAAUAAAAUCAGGACCCACCUCCGGAGCACCAGGAAGUAAGACAGGCACAGCUGGAGUGCCCUCUGUGACAACAGUUGCCCCUGGAACCUCUAACUCAGAGGCCAUGACUGCUUUAAGAGAAAGUGGAAAAACAAGGGCUGAAAUAACCACAGGUACUACUGAGGGCAAAACUCUGGCAGCUGAAAGUACCCACACAGAGGCCACAACUUUCUCAGGAGGCAGCGGAACCACCCGAGCAGGACCAUCAGGAGAGCCCACAACUUCCAUCGAAGAGACUGGUCCUUCCAGAACUGUAUUCAAAACUGUAGGCAUCACUUCGGUCCCAGGGAGGCAAGCAGGCACCUCUGUGGUGGCGCCUGGCACAACAGUUGCCCCUGGAAGUUUCGGCACAGCAGCCACAACUUCUCCUGGAGCAAGUGGAAUGACUGGGGUUAGAACGACUUCGAGUAAGCACGGACAAUCCACUACCUCCUUCUCAGUAGACAUUGCCUCAAUCACAUGCAGUAUUUGUACUUCGUGUAAAGAGUCUUUUCUGAACAUGGAUUACCAGAUAGUCAGGAUAUUACCUAAAUGACUAAAGGCCCGACACUCAAAUUCCUUUAUUUUUCUUUCUUCUGUUCCAAGGAGACUUCAUCAUGAAGCUAAGGCACUGAGAAUCAGUUGUGUGAUUGGAGAGACAUAUUUUUAUUUCUCUCAUUGAUAUCUAGAGGAAAUAAUUGAGUUAUGGAAAGUUUUGUCAUUAAAUUUUCUGUGAGACAGAAAUGGUGCAUGGAAAACAUAUGUAGGUUAAAUCUUGGUUCUAGAAACCACUGAAAAGAGCUUCUUGGCACUUUGAGAAAACACAUAGUUCCCACACCUUCAUGAUAUGACAUGUUCAUUCUUAUUACGGGUAAAGAAUUCAGAUUUUGAUUCCUAUCACUUUCUAAUUACAACUUUCAAUGUGGCAGCC